UUAAUCUUAAAAUUUUUUUUCAGAAAAACAAAAUGGUGGUCAGAUAUAGAGAUAUUCUAGAACUGUUGACAGUGCUAAGUGAUGAAAAAGGGAUCCAGGUCACUCUGAGACAGUCCCUGAAGGGAGGCCUGAUAACUGGUAGUAUUGCCAGUAUCUGUGCAUUUAUCCUCGGCCCUGCAGGACUAGCCGUUGGAGGAGCUGUCGGUGGGGUUAUUGCUGCCUAUACUGCUGAUACAUUCCGUCCUGUCUCACAGGUUAUGCAAGAGAUGACGUACAGUGACCAGGAGAGACUGGCGCUAGCAGUCAGAAGCAUAAUUUCUAAUCUGGAUGCUGGGGAUGCCCUGGAGCUUAUUGCUCUAGUUCAAGGAAACGAACUCUUAAAGGCGAGAGUAAUGGGCGAGAUGCUAAGUUUCCUGCGGAGUCAGAUGAACUUCAAUAUUCCAAACGAUUUUUAAUUUGUAUAAAUUUCAAGUGACCCUCCAUUUUUUAUGGCAUGCCCGAUUUACAAAGUUACCAUUAAAAGCUGGGUCUGGUAAAGAAUGAGAUAUCCAUGAUUUAUCGUUAAAAAUUGCUAUUUUUAUUCUAGUUUUAAUAGAUUUAAAGGAACUUGCGGAUUUCUUGACAAUGACGAAAAUCGUGAGAAUACAACAUUUGUUCAAGCUCGAAACAACGGCUGUAUCUUCCACAUUAUUGAUCAGAUGAAGGAGUAAAAGGUAUCUGUGUGAAUCGGGCUCUCUUUGAAGCGAGGGUCACUUUAAUUAAGUAAUUACAAUGACAGUCCCGUUUAAAGAAAUAUUUAAAAUAAUGUUUCCCGUUAAAACCAAUAAUGAUUUUAAAUACUUCACCAUAUUGAUAUCAUAUUUAAAACAUUAUAAUGAAUGCUGUUAUAUUUUAUAUAGAUAACAAUAUUUACACAGAUUUUAAAUGUGAAGAAAAGAUAAUCAAAAUGAAAUUUAUCUAAAAUUAAAUGUUUUUAAAUCAAAUUAGUUGUAGAAUGUAGAACAACUUUUUGCAAUAAACCUGAAGAUUAUAAAAAAGUGACCUGCGGAUUUCUUGUUUCAGAACUAUGAAGGAAAUUUUGUAAAUUAAACACUUUUUCAAACCAAAAAACUAUAUGAUCAAGGAUACCGUUGUGAACUGGACCUCCUUUAAAAUCCCAAUGAAUAUCUCUCUUUAAAUCAUUUCGCCAUUCUUAAAGAUACAGUACAUUGUCGAUAGUGCUAUACGAUUUUAACGUAUUUACUCAUUUCCCAUGUUUUUUGUAAAUUAUAAAUGAAAAAUGAAAAUAUAUCAAAUGAAAAAUGAAAA
rnacentral:misc_RNA from 1 species